rnacentral:rRNA from 1 species
AGCCGGCCUGAGAGGGCGACCGGCCACACUGGGACUGAGACACGGCCCAGACUCCUACGGGAGGCAGCAGUGGGGAAUAUUGCGCAAUGGGCGAAAGCCUGACGCAGCAACGCCGCGUGAGGGAUGACGGCCUUCGGGUUGUAAACCUCUUUCAGCAGGGACGAAGCGAAAGUGACUGUACCUGCAGAAGAAGCGCCGGCUAACUACGUGCCAGCAGCCGCGGUAAUACGUAGGGCGCAAGCGUUGUCCGGAUUUAUUGGGCGUAAAGAGUUCGUAGGCGGUCUGUCGCGUCGGAAGUGAAAACCCGGAGCUCAACUCCGGGCCUGCUUUCGAUACGGGCAGACUUGAGUGUUGCAGGGGAG